rnacentral:rRNA from 1 species
AACGAACGCUGGCGGCAUGCCUAACACAUGCAAGUCGAACGAGACCUUCGGGUCUAGUUGCGCACGGGUGCGUAACGCGUGGGAACCUGCCCUUAGGUUCGGAAUAACUCCCCGAAAGGGGUGCUAAUACCGGAUAAUGUCUUCGGACCAAAGAUUUAUCGCCUUUGGAUGGGCCCGCGUUGGAUUAGCUAGUUGGUAGGGUAAAAGCCUACCAAGGCUACGAUCCAUAGCUGGUCUGAGAGGAUGAUCAGCCACACUGGGACUGAGACACGGCCCAGACUCCUACGGGAGGCAGCAGUGGGGAAUAUUGGACAAUGGGCGAAAGCCUGAUCCAGCAAUGCCGCGUGAGUGAUGAAGGCCUUAGGGUUGUAAAGCUCUUUUACCCGGGAUGAUAAUGACAGUACCGGGAGAAUAAGCUCCGGCUAACUCCGU